CCUGGCUCAGGAUGAACGCUAGCGGCAGGCUUAACACAUGCAAGUCGAGGGGCAUCGGGAGUAGCAAUACUUGCCGGCGACCGGCGCAAGGGUGCGUAACGCGUGAGCAACAUGCCCGUAUCAGGGGGAUAAUCCAUGGAAACGUGGUCUAAUACCCCAUAGUAAUUAUGUAAGGCAUCUUAUAUAAUUUAAAGCUUUGGUGGAUACGGAUUGGCUCGCGUGACAUUAGCUAGAUGGUAAGGUAACGGCUUACCAUGGCUACGAUGUCUAGGGGUUCUGAGAGGAAGGUCCCCCCACACUGGAACUGAGACACGGUCCAGACUCCUACGGGAGGCAGCAGUGAGGAAUAUUGGACAAUGGAUGGAAAUCUGAUCCAGCCAUGCCGCGUGCAGGAAAAGACGGCCCUAUGGGUUGUAAACUGCUUUUGUAUGGGAGCAAUAAGGGCUACGCGUAGUCCGAUGAGAGUACCAUACGAAUAAGCACCGGCUAACUCCGUGCCAGCAGCCGC
rnacentral:rRNA from 1 species